UUGCUCUUGAAGUUGGUUUGAUUCAUAAUUUCUGAUGGAUUAUUACAAACAAUUGCAGGAAAUAACAUUUUAUCUUUAGAAAUAUGCCUCAGUUAAAUCUAGGAAGUAAUUCCAGCAUAAUGCGAAAUAGGUAGGGGAUAUAUAUAUAUACACACACACACACAGAGGUAAGGGAAUAUGUUACCUUCUCAUUUUCUUAAUAACAAAAAUAGAGAUGACAACGUUCCUAAUCCAUGUACUUUGCAGCAUAUAUUGUCGAGAAGGAUGUCCCGUAUAAUUUGCUAUUCUACCUGUUUUAUCACAUCCAUGCUCAUUGUAGCUAACCUCUGCUGUAGCUUUAUCUAAACCUCAAUGUUUGCAACAUUCCAGGGAGUCAGUAAAGGUCUAGUUGCAGAGAAAAUUUUCGCAUCAAUGGCU
rnacentral:lncRNA from 1 species